rnacentral:rRNA from 1 species
GACGAACGCUGGCGGCGUGCUUAACACAUGCAAGUCGAACGGAAAGGCCCUGCUUUUGUGGGGUGCUCGAGUGGCGAACGGGUGAGUAACACGUGAGUAACCUGCCCUUGACUUUGGGAUAACUUCAGGAAACUGGGGCUAAUACCGGAUAGGAGCUCCUGCUGCAUGGUGGGGGUUGGAAAGUUUCGGCGGUUGGGGAUGGACUCGCGGCUUAUCAGCUUGUUGGUGGGGUAGUGGCUUACCAAGGCUUUGACGGGUAGCCGGCCUGAGAGGGUGACCGGCCACAUUGGGACUGAGAUACGGCCCAGACUCCUACGGGAGGCAGCAGUGGGGAAUAUUGCACAAUGGGCGGAAGCCUGAUGCAGCAACGCCGCGGGCGGGAUGAGGGCCUUCGGGUUGUAAACCGCUUUCGCCUGUGACGAAGCGUGAGUGACGGUAAUGGGUAAAGAAGCACCGGCUAACUACGUG